rnacentral:rRNA from 1 species
CCUACGGGAGGCAGCAGUGGGGAAUAUUGGGCAAUGGGCGAAAGCCUGACCCAGCAACGCCGCGUGAAGGAAGAAGGCCUUCGGGUUGUAAACUUCUUUUGACAGGGAAGAGCAGCAGACGGUACCUGUCGAAUCAGCCACGGCUAACUACGUGCCAGCAGCCGCGGUAAUACGCAGGUGGCAAGCGUUGUCCGGAUUUACUGGGUGUAAAGGGCGUGUAGCCGGGCUGACAAGUCAGCUGUGAAAUCCGGGGGCUCAACCCCCGACCUGCCGUUGAAACUGUUGGUCUUGAGUGUCGGAGAGGCAGGCGGAAUUCCUGGUGUAGCGGUGAAAUGCGUAGAUAUUAGGAGGAACACCAGUGGCGAAGGCAGCCUGCUGGACGACAACUGACGGUGAGGCGCGAAAGCGUGGGGAGCGAACAGGAUUAGAUACCCGGGUAGUC